rnacentral:rRNA from 1 species
AGAGUUUGAUCAUGGCUCAGAUUGAACGCUGGCGGCAGGCCUAACACAUGCAAGUCGAACGGUAACAGGAAGAAGCUUGCUUCUUUGCUGACGAGUGGCGGACGGGUGAGUAAUGUCUGGGAAACUGCCUGAUGGAGGGGGAUAACUACUGGAAACGGUAGCUAAUACCGCAUAACGUCGCAAGACCAAAGAGGGGGACCUUCGGGCCUCUUGCCAUCGGAUGUGCCCAGAUGGGAUUAGCUAGUAGGUGGGGUAACGGCUCACCUAGGCGACGAUCCCUAGCUGGUCUGAGAGGAUGACCAGCCACACUGGAACUGAGACACGGUCCAGACUCCUACGGGAGGCAGCAGUGGGGAAUAUUGCACAAUGGGCGCAAGCCUGAUGCAGCCAUGCCGCGUGUAUGAAGAAGGCCUUCGGGUUGUAAAGUACUUUCAGCGGGGAGGAAGGGAGUAAAGUUAAUACCUUUGCUCAUUGACGUUACCCGCAGAAGAAGCACCGGCUAAUUCCGUGCCAGCAGCCGCGGUAAUACGGAGGGUGCAAGCGUUAAUCGGAAUUACUGGGCGUAAAGCGCACGCAGGCGGUUUGUUAAGUCAGAUGUGAAAUCCCCGGGCUCAACCUGGGAACUGCAUCUGAUACUGGCAAGCUUGAGUCUCGUAGAGGGGGGUAGAAUUCCAGGUGUAGCGGUGAAAUGCGUAGAGAUCUGGAGGAAUACCGGUGGCGAAGGCGGCCCCCUGGACGAAGACUGACGCUCAGGUGCGAAAGCGUGGGGAGCAAACAGGAUUAGAUACCCUGGUAGUCCACGCCGUAAACGAUGUCGACUUGGAGGUUGUGCCCUUGAGGCGUGGCUUCCGGAGCUAACGCGUUAAGUCGACCGCCUGGGGAGUACGGCCGCAAGGUUAAAACUCAAAUGAAUUGACGGGGGCCCGCACAAGCGGUGGAGCAUGUGGUUUAAUUCGAUGCAACGCGAAGAACCUUACCUGGUCUUGACAUCCACGGAAGUUUUCAGAGAUGAGAAUGUGCCUUCGGGAACCGUGAGACAGGUGCUGCAUGGCUGUCGUCAGCUCGUGUUGUGAAAUGUUGGGUUAAGUCCCGCAACGAGCGCAACCCUUAUCCUUUGUUGCCAGCGGUCCGGCCGGGAACUCAAAGGAGACUGCCAGUGAUAAACUGGAGGAAGGUGGGGAUGACGUCAAGUCAUCAUGGCCCUUACGACCAGGGCUACACACGUGCUACAAUGGCGCAUACAAAGAGAAGCGACCUCGCGAGAGCAAGCGGACCUCAUAAAGUGCGUCGUAGUCCGGAUUGGAGUCUGCAACUCGACUCCAUGAAGUCGGAAUCGCUAGUAAUCGUGGAUCAGAAUGCCACGGUGAAUACGUUCCCGGGCCUUGUACACACCGCCCGUCACACCAUGGGAGUGGGUUGCAAAGAAGUAGGUAGCUUAACCUUCGGGAGGGCGCUUACCACUUUGUGAUUCAUGACUGGGGUGAAGUCGUAACAAGGUAACCGUAGGGGAACCUGCGGUUGGAUCACCU